rnacentral:lncRNA from 1 species
AUGAUUGUGGCCUUGUACUGUUGCUGCAUUUCAUUUGUUUUUGUGACUUUCCUAGUGUUGUGCACUGUCUGUGAGCAAGUGCAUUUGUUUGAGCAGGUGUGUGUGUGUGUGUGUGUGAGAGAGCGUUACCUCAUCUACAGUCAGUUGUCUAAUUGGAAAACAUUUUUGUUUACACGUGCAAAAAAGAAAAAUGUAAAAAAAAAAAAUUCUAAAAAAAAAUCUUCCACUUGAUGAAACACAACAGGAUACAUUGUAGCGACACGAAUUAUUUAAAAAAAAAAGUUCACCUGGUGUGCUGAACUAAGUGUAAAUGGUUUAUUACACAAUAUGAAUAUUUGUAAAAUUGUUUGUAUUUUUUCACAAUGAUUUUAAAAAGGAGUGUGUUUAUUUUUUGACUUUUUUUCUGUUACAGAGCUCUCUCUCUCUCUUUCUCUCUCUCUGGUCUUUUUUCUCCUCGUUUGUUCGCCUGACAUUGUGAGUGAGUCAGUUGGUUCUUACCUCUCCUGUAUUGAGCCUGUGAUGAGUCCUUUGUAUGCAGUGUUUUGAAAAUACUGUAGGGAACAUGGGAAGAAAUUGAUAUUAGGAGCAUUUGAUCAAUUUGUAUUUAUUUAUUUUAUCAUUUUGUUAAUAAAUUGACAAAGAAUAUUUGCCUCCCAUUUGUCUUGAAUUCAACUUGGCUUUAUAGAAUGACCAGAUGACUUGUGAAACUGAUCAUAUGUAAGUGUCAUGCCAGAAAAGAGAUGAGAAGUGUUGGGGUGGAUGCUGACUGUCAGGGGCCUCCAAAGCCUGUCUUUUAAGGACUACAGUGAUGUCCAUAAAAUGCACAAUUGCUGUAUACAACAACUCUCUAAUGUUUAAAAAAAAAACACCACAGCUUCACAAGAUAUUAAACUAAGAUAUCAUUUUACUUCUAAAUUGAAAAUCUGCUUUGGGACUAACCUUUAGGACAUUACUGAAGCAAUCUAUGGCAAAUUUAAGACUGGACUAAACCCUUCUAUUAGAUGUGGAAAUGGAAAGUUCCUCCAACUUCUCCCACUUGAUUGUUCUGACAUAAAAUCAACCAAAAUGGCAGCAAUUUCAAUAGUAAAGGAUGAUAUGCACCAUUCAAUGUCAUUUAUAGCGGUGUGCAUAUGGUGAUAUUUCAUUCUUCCAUAUUUGCAAGAGAAUAUAGAGGAUUAUUAAGUAUUUUGCUGUCAAACGCUCCAUUUUGCGUUGCCAUAGAAACGGAAUUUUCUAUGUACGUGAAAAGCUCAGAAUAGUCGUAAUCACAGUAAUUCCGAGGAGAUUCAGUCAACGGGAGCUUUUCAAACUGUAAUCAUAAAGUAUAACACUUAUAUAAUUAAGGCAAACAUACAUUGUACAUCCAAGGCUAAAAUGAUCAAGAAAAAGUUCGAAUGGAGUUUAUACAUUAAGUGGCUGAAAACGAAUGAACUGUGAAAUGAACUAUUAAAACUUAAAUUAUUACAAUUUUAAUUAUAAAAAAAAAAAGUGAAACCUUGGCACGCAACCGCUGAUAAUGUUUCUGGAGGCGCGUUCCAAAAUCGAACGCGCGCGAACCGCGGCCUCUUACAACUUCACACACUAUCUAACUUUCCCUUUCCUGAAAUUUCGUGCCCAGUCUGCACAAACGCCGCUUUCUUCCGUUUCCCAUGUCAUUUCCUGUAAUAAAAAGAUGGUGGUCAUAGCAGAGAGAAGCAGCUGACUGUGGUACAAACAUUUGGAGAUGAUAAACUUUGCAUCGCCCGGGACUAGUGAAAUCCCCCCGCGCCGUUGCGUCACCGCCGCGCUUCUCGGAGCGGCAGAUAGCGAGACGCAUCACGGCUGAAGAAGACCACCAAAGACCCCGCGACGCACUGCGUAUGUUUUUUAGACGGUGAGUUACACUCACUAGCCAAUGUGGCCAAUGAAAUGGCUCCGAAGCGUAGGCACAUUCGCAGUUGCCUUGCAGAAGCUAAGCGGAGGAGGCAGCGCGUGCAGAAGCAUUGCAACUAGUAGUAAAUAGUAACUAAUUAAAACUUAAAUUAUUAACUAAUUUAAUUAAUAAAAAAAAAAAAGUAGAAACCUUGGCACGCAACCGCUGAUAAUGUUUCUGGAGGCGCGUUCCAAAAUCGAACGCGCGCGAACCGCGGCCUCUUACAACUUCACACACUAUCUAACUUUCCCUUUCCUGAAAUUUCGUGCCCAGUCUGCACAAACGCCGCUUUCUUCCGUUUCCCAUGUCAUUUCCUGUAAUAAAAAGAUGGUGGUCAUAGCAGAGAGAAGCAGCUGACUGUGGUACAAACAUUUGGAGAUGAUAAACUUUGCAUCGCCCGGGACUAGUGAAAUCCCCCCGCGCCGUUGCGUCACCGCCGCGCUUCUCGGAGCGGCAGAUAGCGAGACGCAUCACGGCUGAAGAAGACCACCAAAGACCCCGCGACGCACUGCGUAUGUUUUUUUAGACGG